UACAAGAAGGAAAGCUCAAGAUCUGAGUUCCGAGAAAUCCUACCAAACCCAAAGCUGGGAGAAGAAACUCAAAGCAAUUGUUGAAUCUGAAGAUGAUGCGCAGCAGCGGCAGCUCAACAAGAGGUAUGCUUUUUUCUCUCUCCGUCAACAAUUUCAUCAUGGCUUUGUUUCAUUCGAGACAAACCCAUGUAGAGAGAAAACCAGCCUCAAAGCCCAAAGUUGAGGAGGAUGCCUUGAAGUUGUUCCGUGAAAUGCUUCACAGCCGUCCCCUGCCUUGUGUUGUUCGUUUCACUCAGUUAUUGGGUCAACUUGUCAAAUUGAAACACUAUUCUGCCGUCAUCUCUUUGAAUAGACAGAUGCUUCUCUCUGGAAUCGCUUCUGAUGACUAUACUCUAAACAUUAUCAUUAAGUGCUAUUGCCAUUUGAAUCAAAUGGGGUUUGGCUUAUCUGUCUUGGGAACAUUCUUCAAAUUGGGUCUUCAACCAGACGUCGUCACCUUCACCACUCUAAUCAACGGCUUUGUUCUCCACAAUCAAGUGCCUGAGGCUGCACGAAUUUUCACCAAAAUGCUGGAGACAGGUCAUUGUAAGCCCAAUGUGGUUACGUUCAACACGCUAAUGAAGGGCUUUUGCAUGAGGGGAGACAACACUGCUGCAAUUCAAUUACUUGGGAAGAUGGAAGAAGAAAGAGGAUGCGAGCCUAACGUAGUUUCCUAUAGCACCAUCAUUGACAGUCUUUGCAAGGACACACUAAUUGAUGAAGCAUUCAACCUCUUCGCAGAAAUGAUCAGUAGAGGUAUUACUCCAGACGUUGUUACUUACACGUCUUUGAUUCACGGAGUUUGCAAACUAGGCCAGUGGAAACAAGCUACGAGGUUGCUUGAUGAAAUGUUGAGUACAUGUAUCUUUCCAGAUGUUUGCACCUUCAAUGUCUUGGUUGAUACUUUCUGUAAGGAAGGGAUGGUCAUGGAAGCCAAAAGUGUGAUUCAAAAGAUGAUUCAAAGACAUAUUCAGCCUGAUACGAUUACAUACAACUCACUUAUGGACGGUUACUGUUUGCGAGGAGGAACGGACAAGGCAAGACAAGUUUUUGAUGUUAUGAUUAGCAAGGGCUCCAUGGUUGAUGUUCAGAGCUGUAGCAUAUUGAUACAUGGAUAUUGCAAGGGUAAAAUGCUCGAUAAGGCUUACAAGAUUUUCAAGGAAAUGCCUCGUAUGGAACUUGUUCCUGAUACCGUUACUUAUACCACUCUUAUUGAUGGUCUUUGCAAAGUGGGGAGAAUUCAAGAAGCAGAAGAGUUGUUCUCUGAGAUGCAGGGUUGUGGCCAGCUUCCAAAUGUUCAAACUUAUGCUGUGAUACUUUAUGGCCUGUGUAACAAUCAUCAACUUUCUACGGCAGUAGAAUUGCUCACAGAGAUGGAAGCCAGAGAACUGGAACUCGAUAUUGUAAUUUACAAUAUUGUAAUUGAAGGUUUGUGCAAAGCUGGAGAAAUUGAAUCCGCAAGAGACCUCUUCUGUGGUUUGUCAUCAAAAGGAGUUCAGCCUAAUGUCAGAACACACACUGUAAUGAUUCAUGGGCUUUGUCAUCAUGGCUUCAUAGUUGAAGCAGAAAAGUUGCUGAGAGAAAUGGGAGGGAAAGGAUGUUCUCCAAAUGGUUGGACCUAUAACACCAUUAUCCGAGGUUUUAUCAAUAACAAUGAGACAUCAAGGGCUACGAGACUUAUUCAAGAAAUGCUUGAGAGGGGUUUCUCUGCAGAUGCAUCAACUAUGGAAUUGAUUGUUGAUUUAUUGUCGAAGGAUACGGUAGAUCCUGGUUUAUUAGCAUUGCUUAAAGAUUCAGUCUGAAGUUAGGCUUUAAUAUCUGUGAGACUAAUCAACCCAAAACCCUGGUCUUUUUGGGUCUGAUGGGUCGGUCCACUUUCUCCUCGGACGAUAUUGUAAUAAAGUCUCAAAAUGAUAACAAACUGUACAGAUUAAUCAAGCUUGAGAAUGGCCUCACUGCAUUGCUCAUUCAUGACCCUGAGAUAUACUCACAAGGGUAUAUGUGGGUAUAAGAGUCUUGAACCCAGUGAAGAAGAUUAAGCAGCAGCUAAAGGUGGAGAUGGUGCCUCUGAGACUAAGAAGGCAGCAGCAGCAAUUUGCGUUGGAAUAGGCAGCUUUUCUGACCCUAUGGGAGCACAAGGGCUUGCACACUUUCUUGAACAUAUGCUCUUCAUGGGGAGUACAAA